UGAAAGGUAGUGGGAGAGUGUAGGAGCCUGGCAGACAGACCGAGAUUCAGAGGGAAACACGAGGUGAGAAGCGCGAGAACAAGUGUGCGAGGGAAGGAGGGAGAGAGCAAGUCUUGGAAAGAGACAGAAAGAUGGAAGUGUGGAGGCGGGAAAGAGUGAGAGAUGCGAGGACAUAACAACCAUAGAGAAAUGUGUGUGUAUGUGUUUGCUUUAUUGCGGUGGCCCCACCUACCCCUCCAUCCUGUUAAGGAGGCACAGUCCGAAGGAGGAGGGGUAGGAUGGUAGGAUCCCCUCCCUCAGCCACCAACACACACACACUCUCUCUCUGGCUCAUACACACACUCUGCUCCGUGAGGGAGCAGUCGCUGAAGAGCUCUGGAUAGACAUGCGAGGUUCUGCAGGUGUCCCACCCUUCUCUCCUGACAUGGAUGCUAUAGGAGUGGUGUACCACGAUGAAUCAGGGUGCAGUGGAUGACAGAGAACGUGCGACAAAGAUCCAAAGUCGGACGCCAACCUAAGACAUGUGUUUGUUGGGGUCAGAGGCUGAAAGCUGCGGAGUGGUGACCGGAGCGAGAGGCCUGCGUGACAUCUGACCUCUAACUGGGCGUGUGGGUGACCCCGGAGAAUACGGCUCAACAAUGGGAGGCACGUGCCCUGGACUAGUCACCAUGGUAACACAAGACCUUUGGGGAAACGGUGGGGGGGGUCAAACCUCAUCCUUUAUCCUGAUCAGUGUUAACCAUCUGCUGCCAAUUGACUCUUAUAGAUAUAACACAUACCCGCCACAGAAGAGUGUGCAUGUGUGUUCGAGAGAGGAAACUCUGA